AUAAAAAAAAAAAAAAAUUCAAACUCAAAGAAAACUUAAAAUAAUAUAGUUAUCAAUAUACGUAACAUACAGAUACGAUUUUAUGUUUCUGGUUCAGUCACUGUAUCAUUGUUGAGAUUUUACAAACAAAAUUUGUAGAGAAUUUAUCAAUUCAAUUCAGGUCUAGAUGAGUAAACAAGUGAAAUAAACAAUCAUCAGAGGCACGCAGCAUUACAUAAACUCGGAAAUCUCAAGAAAUCCAACUACAAGGAGAAAAAAUACAUGUAAAGUUGUAACAUGGUGGCAGCAUAUCGACAACAAAGGUAGCAUGUAUAAAUGCUACAAAAACCAUUUUGUGAUGUCUACUCUUAGCAUCAUAAUGCCUUAUAGGGUAUGCAUUUUCUUCCUUUCUUUAAUUUGCCAGAUUAAGCAUUUUAAUUUGGCAAUUGCAAAAUAACCAACUUCCUGAGUACAUUUAUUUAACAAUUCCCAGCCAAAGUAUUGGUUUCUAAG